AUUGAACGCUGGCGGCGUGCUUAACACAUGCAAGUCGAUCGGUAACAGGUGUAGCAAUACAUGCUGACGAGAGGCGGACGGGUGAGUAAUGCUUGGGAAUCUGCCUAUUAGUGGGGGACAACCCGGGGAAACUCGGGCUAAUACCGCAUACGCUCUACGGAGGAAAGCCGGGGACCGCAAGGCCUGGCGCUAAUAGAUGAGCCCAAGUCGGAUUAGCUAGUUGGUAGGGUAACGGCCUACCAAGGCGACAAUCCGUAGCUGGUCUGAGAGGACGACCAGCCACACCGGAACUGAGACACGGUCCGGACUCCUACGGGAGGCAGCAGUGGGGAAUAUUGGACAAUGGGGGCAACCCUGAUCCAGCGACGCCGCGUGGGUGAAGAAGGCCU
rnacentral:rRNA from 1 species